rnacentral:lncRNA from 1 species
AGUAAAACUUUAGGUUAAACCACCAGAAACCCUAGAAGCCGAUAGGUCACCAAAAAAAAUCACCCAAAAAUCAUCAGAUAAUCUCCCAGAACGUUCGAGUGAAGAAAACACACUCCGAUAUCACGAUGAAAAACUCAGAAAGGUGUCCGAUAGGUCGGAAUCUUCAUCGACCAUGAGGUCUCAGAAAACACCCCCAAAAAUCUCGAAACAGACUUCAUCCAAGACAACGAAGUACAUAUAAACAUAGUCGGAUCGUCGUCUAGGCUCUGAUACCAUGUUAACAUCGAGAUUAAACCGAAAAAUGAUGAAGAAUGUAGAGAGAGAAAGUAGAGAGAAGGAGGAGCGUUUGAGAAGACUCUGGAAUCCAGAGUGUUU